rnacentral:tRNA from 1 species
GAGGUUAGCUCAGCGGUUAGAGCACCUGCCUUACACGCAGGGGGUCGAAGGUUCGAAUCCCUCACCUC